GACGAACGCUGGCGGCGUGCCUAAUACAUGCAAGUCGAACGCAGUGGGGACGGCUGCGUAACACGUGGGUAACCUCCCAUCAGAGUGCAUAACACUUGGAAACAGGUGCUAAACCGAUACUGAUGUAUGGACCCGGGGUGCAUUAGCCAGUUGGUGGGGUAACGGCUCACCAAGGCCAUGAUGCAUAGCCGACCUGGGAGGGUGAUCGGCCACACUGGGACUGAGACACGGCCCAGACUCCUACGGGAGGCAGCAGUAGGGAAUCUUCGGCAAUGGACGAAAGUCUGACCGAGCAACGCCGCGUGAGUGAAGAAGGUUUUCGGAUCGUAAAACUCUGGUGUUAGAGAAGCGGUAGCUAACCAGAAAGUCACGGCUAACUACGUGCCAGCAGCCGCGGUAAUAC
rnacentral:rRNA from 1 species